AAGUAUUCCUGCCNNGUGACAUAGUUCAACGGCCGCGGUAUCCUAACCGUGCAAAGGUAGCAUAAUCACUUGCCCAUUAAUUGUGGGCUAGAAUGAAAGGACCAACGAAAUAAAGACNGUCUCUAUAAGCAAAUUAAAAAUUAAUCUCUAACUGAAGAGUGUUAGAUUAUGUCGAAGGACAAGAAGACCCUAUAGAGCUUAAUUCUAAUAAAAAUACAUGUUUUAAUAAAAUUCGGUUGGGGCGACCAGGGAAUAAAAAUCAUCCCUAUUCAAAAGAUUUAUAAAUCUUUAAAAUGACCCUUAAACAAGACCAUAAAAACAAGCUACCUUAGGGGUAACAGGCUAAUCCCACUAAAGAGUUCUUAUCAAUAGCGGGGGUUGGCACCUCGAUGUUGGCUUAGGGAAUCUAUACGGCGCAAAAGUCGUAUAAAGAUGGUUUGUUCAACCAAUAACCCCUACGUGAUCU
rnacentral:rRNA from 1 species